UGCGGGGUAGAGCAGGGGUAGCUCGUUGGGCUCAUAACCCAAAGGUCGUUGGUUCGAAUCCAGCCCCCGCUACCA
rnacentral:tRNA from 1 species